AAUGAACGCUGGCGGCAGGCCUAACACAUGCAAGUCGAGCGAGCGGCGGACGGGUGAGUAAUGUAUGGGGACUGCCCGAUAGCGGGGGAUAACUACUGGAAACGGUAGCUAAUACCGCAUCCUAUCGGAUAUCCCAUAUGGAAUUAGCUAGUAGGGGAGGUAAUGGCGCACCUAGGCGACGAUCCCUAGCUGGUCUGAGAGGAUGAUCAGCCACACUGGUACGGAGACACGGCCCAGACUCCUACGGAGGAAGCAGUGGGGAAUAUUGCACAAUGGGCGCAAGCCUGAUGCAGCCAUGCCGCGUGUAUGAAGAAGGCCUUAGGGUUGUAAAGUACUUUCAGUCGGGAGGCGUUACCGACAGAAGAAGCACCGGCUAACUCCGUGCCAGCAGCCGCGGUAAUAC
rnacentral:rRNA from 1 species